GAUGAACGCUGGCGGCGUGCCUAAUACAUGCAAGUCGAGCGAAUGGAUUAAGAGCUUGCUCUUAUGAAGUUAGCGGUGGACGGGUGAGUAACACGUGGGUAACCUGCCCAUAAGACUGGAAUAACUCCGGGAAACCGGGGCUAAUACCGGAUAACAUUUUGAACCGCAUGGUUCGAAAUUGAAAGGCGGCUUCGGCUGUCACUUAUGGAUGGACCCGCGUCGCAUUAGCUAGUUGGUGAGGUAACGGCUCACCAAGGCAACGAUGCGUAGCCGACCUGAGAGGGUGAUCGGCCACACUGGGACUGAGACACGGCCCAGACUCCUACGGGAGGCAGCAGUAGAGAAUCUUCCGCAAUGGACGAAAGUCUGACGGAGCAACGCCGCGUGAGUGAUGAAGGCUUUCGGGUCGUAAAACUCUGUUGUUAGGGAAGAACAAGUGCUAGUUGAAUAAGCUGGCACCUUGACGGUACCUAACCAGAAAGCCACGGCUAACUACGUGCCAGCCGCCGCGGUAA
rnacentral:rRNA from 1 species